CCUACGGGAGGCAGCAGUGGGGAAUUUUGGACAAUGGGGGCAAGCCUGAUCCAGCCAUGCCGCGUGAGUGAAGAAGGCCUUCGGGUUGUAAAGCUCUUUCAGGUGGAAAGAAAUCGCAUCCCCUAAUACCGGUGGUGGAUGACGGUACCAUCAGAAGAAGCACCGGCUAACUACGUGCCAGCAGCCGCGGUAAUACGUAGGGUGCGAGCGUUAAUCGGAAUUACUGGGCGUAAAGCGUGCGCAGGCGGUUGUGUAAGACAGGUGUGAAAUCCCCGGGCUUAACCUGGGAACUGCGCUUGUGACUGCACAGCUAGAGUACGGCAGAGGGGGGUGGAAUUCCACGUGUAGCAGUGAAAUGCGUAGAGAUGUGGAGGAACACCGAUGGCGAAGGCAGCCCCCUGGGCCUGUACUGACGCUCAUGCACGAAAGCGUGGGGAGCAAACAGGAUUAGAUACCCUGGUAGUCCACGCCCUAAACGAUGUCAACUAGUUGUUCGGAAGGGAAACUUUCUGAGUAACGCAGCUAACGCGUGAA
rnacentral:rRNA from 1 species